AGUUGCUUCUCUCCUUACACCAUGUGAGUCCUGGGGGUGGAACUCAGGUCAUCAGGCUUGGUGGCAAGUGUGUUUACAUGCGGAGCCAUCUUGUUGGUGCUCAACUUAAAAAUUAAAAAAAAUCCUCCAACACACUCAGGUCGGUUGAGAAUUCUCUGUCUCUCUCUGUAUCUCUCUGUGUCUCUGUCUCUGUCUCUCUCUCUCAGAUUCUAUGGAAGAACACCGAAGAGGCAGUGCCCAGCCUUGUAGAAUCCUUUCCCAGACCACUGGACUUACAAUUCCAUCCUAAAGAAUGUUCUAAAUGGAGCCCAUACAACAUGCAGCCCUUUGAACUCACCUUCUUAAUAGAAAACAGCCAUGCACUUGUGAUAGAUGCUUUCGUAGGGACUGAUGCAAGGAGGUUGAGGAAGCUCUGAAGAUGAUGGGGAAAGGAUUAUGGGAAACUCAGAAGAUGCUGUCUCUAAGCUGGGGUGUGAAGCACAUAUUCAUAGAGAGGACAAUAUUGCUAUUAUCAAAUCGCAUUUGUUCAAAUUUGAAGACUUAAGUGAAAACCUUCUAAAGCAAACAGUCUUCAUGGGUCUGCAUCUCCUGUCAGUUCGCCGGCCUCAGGACCCCUGCCUGCCUGUGAUGUCUUCCCACCUGGAGGCUUCCUCCUGGAUUCUGUGUUCUCAUUAAUUCCUACACACUCACCCCAGAGACACUCAACAUCUGCUGCUCAGCAAAGCCCUGCCUGGCCUCUCUGCCUGGAUCAAGUCCUCACUUAGAUAAGCAAACAGCCUUCUUUAACAAUUUUUUUUAAUUAAAAUUGUUCCUUGACAAUUUCACACAUAUUA